rnacentral:lncRNA from 1 species
GAGAGAAUUAGUUAGUUUCAGAUAAUACUAUCUAAAAUUUCAAUAUUUUUUAUAAAAAAAUCGAAUAAAGAAUUAAUGAUCAAAUAGUAAUAAACAAAAUAUCCAACUAGCUAAUAGACCCUUUUGUUUUUCAACAAUAAUAAAGAAUUUGUUUUUAGAUAAAUUGAGGAGCUUGGCUUAGAGAGCGCUUGAGAAAUUUGAGGUUAAAGGGAGAGAGAGUUGAGAUUAGAAAGAGAGUUUUAUAGGUUACAGAUGUGAAAAAAUAAAAAGAGAGAAAGCGCUUAGUUUAGAGAGAGUGAUUUGAGGGUAGGGAAGCAACAGAAUUGAGAUUUUAGAAAGAGAGGGAGAGAGAGCAUAGGUUACAGAGGGAGCAUAAUUAAAUAAAUAGGGAGAGAGAUAGAGUCAAGGUUUAGAGGGAAUGGAAUUGAGAUUUUAGAAAGAGAGGGCGGAAAAGAGAAAAGCAGUCUAAGUUUAGAGAGAGAAUGAUAAGAUUAGGGAGAUAUGAGGCUAAAGAGUAAAAAAGAAAAAGGGAUAAUUGCCUAUAUACCCCUCAAAAUAAUAAAAAUAUCUGAUUUACCCCCAUUUUUUCAUUUCAAAUAUAUCGCUCGUAUGUUUCAUUGUUAUUCAAAAAUACCCCUGCAAUUACCAUGCGUUAGGUUAUCUCGGGUUAAAUAUGAGUCAAAUAUCUACCACCAUAAACCACAAAUUCCUUUCCU